rnacentral:rRNA from 1 species
UACGAAGGGAGCUAGCGUUGUUCGGAAUCACUGGGCGUAAAGCGCGCGUAGGCGGACCUGCAAGUCGGGGGUGAAAACCCGAGGCUCAACCUCGGAACUGCCUUCGAUACUGCGGGUCUCGAGUCCGGGAGAGGUGAGUGGAAUUCCUAGUGUAGAGGUGAAAUUCGUAGAUAUUAGGAAGAACACCAGUGGCGAAGGCGGUUCUCUGGGCCUUACCUGACGCUGAGGAGCGAAAGCAUGGGGAGCAAACAGG